CGGGGAGGGCGCGGCGGCCAGCAUGGCGCGUCGCGGCGCGGGCCGCGCGGCUAGACGGGGCUCCUGAGGAACGGGCGGCGGCAGCCCCGGAGCCGACGAGGCGCGGGGCGGGCGGCGACCGGGCGGAGGGGCGCCGCCUUCCCUGACGCCGGGCACCUGGUCGCGGGCGCGCGGGCGACAUGCCCAACCCCAAAAACAGCAAAGGCGGCCGCAAAAACAAGCGCGCCAACAGCAGCGGAGACGAGCAGGAAAAUGGAGCCGGGGCCCUGGCGGCGGCGGGCGCGGCGGGCUCGGCGGCCGGCGGGGGGGCCCUGGCGGCGGCGGCCGGCGGUGGGGCGGCGGCACCGGGCGCUCCGGGCACCGGGGGUACGGCGGGCACCGGCGGAGCGGGGACGGGCGGCGCGAACGCCGGAGCCGCCGCGGGGGCUGCAGCCGCGGGAGACGCCAAGAACGAAGCCCCCUGUGCCACGCCUCUGAUCUGCAGCUUUGGGAGGCCGGUGGACCUGGAGAAGGACGACUAUCAGAAGGUGGUGUGCAACAAUGAGCACUGUCCUUGCAGCACCUGGAUGCACCUGCAGUGUUUCUAUGAGUGGGAGAGCAGCAUCUUGGCCCAGUUCAACUGCAUCGGCCGUGCCCGCAGCUGGAACGAGAAGCAGUGCCGCCAGAACAUGUGGACCAAGAAGGGCUACGACCUGGCUUUCCGCUUCUGCUCCUGCCGCUGUGGGCAAGGGCACUUAAAGAAAGACACAGACUGGUACCAGGUGAAGCGGAUGCAGGAUGAGAAAAAGAAGAAGUCUGGGUUGGAGAAGAACACGGGGAGGCCCCCGGGGGAGGCCGGAGAAGAGGCAAAAAAGUGCAGACCCCCAAACAAGCCCCAGAAAGGCCUAAACCACGACCUUCCCCGUCGGCAUUCUAUGGACCGGCAGAACUCCCAGGAGAAGGCAGUCAGUGCUGCAGCCUAUGGUGCCCGUUCCCCUUGUGGCUCCCCUGGCCAGUCACCCCCAACUGGCUACUCCAUCCUCUCUCCUGCCCACUUCAGUGGUCCUCGUUCCUCCAGAUACCUUGGAGAAUUCUUAAAAAAUGCCAUCCAUCUUGAGCCUCACAAAAGGGCUAUGGCUGGGGGCCAUGUGUUCAGAAAUGCCCACUUUGAUUACAGUCCAGCCGGGUUAUCUGUUCACAGGGGAGGACACUUUGACACUCCUGUGCAGUUUCUGCGGAGGCUGGACCUCUCUGAACUCCUCACCCAUAUCCCCAGGCAUAAGCUGAACACUUUCCAUGUUCGUAUGGAAGACGAUGCCCAAGUGGGUCAGGGAGAGGAUCUGCGGAAGUUCAUUCUCACGGCUCUCAGUGCCAGCCACAGAAACGUUGUAAACUGUGCUCUGUGCCACCGGACACUCCCAGUCUUUGAACAGUUCCCACUGGUGGAUGGAACUCUGUUCUUAAGCCCCUCGAGACACGAUGAGAUCGAAUAUGAUGUUCCUUGUCACCUUCAAGGGAGACUCAUGCAUCUGUACGCAGUGUGUGUGGACUGCCUGGAAGGGGUUCACAAGAUCAUCUGCAUCAAGUGUAAGUCUCGGUGGGAUGGCAGCUGGCACCAGCUGGGCACCAUGUAUACCUAUGACAUCCUGGCUGCCUCUCCCUGCUGUCAGGCCCGCCUGAACUGCAAGCACUGUGGCAAACCCGUGAUCGACGUGAGGAUCGGGAUGCAGUACUUCUCCGAGUACAGCAACGUCCAGCAGUGUCCACAUUGUGGGAACCUGGACUACCAUUUCGUGAAGCCAUUCUCGUCCUUCAAAGUUCUUGAAGCUUAUUGAUGAAAGCUUUGCUUUAGUAAUAGCUAUUUUAUUGAUAUUAUUACUUUGUUACAGAUCUUUUAUAGGGAAGCAUUCUGUGACAUUAAUUUCUUUUUCUAAGUUAAAGCAGAGUUUACUUUGUAUAUCUGUGCCACUAAAAUGGGGUUUGCCCCUUGCCUGUCUUGAUUCCCAAAUGUUAGUCUUUGGUCAGGAUUGGAACUAAGAAGGGUGGUAGGGGCAUUUGGGUAAGAGUUCACUCUCACUGAGAAUCUCUGUUGCAUCUUUAAGGUAGUCAGGAGGAUUGGACAAAUUUAAGAGAGGGAUUUUGUGGUUAUUAUGGAAAAGCAUGGUGGGAUUUGGGAGGGAGCUCUUACUAAAAUGUUAACUUCCUAAAGACCUACUUUUUAGAUAGUCUGUGAGCAUUGGGAAUAAUAUACGACAAGUGAAUGUAAGUCUGAGCCUUGAGAGCUAAUAGUGUGUUGGGCUAUCUUGGCUUAAUGAUCUGCAGUACAUGUUAACAUGCAGCUUGCUCUCACUGACAGAUGACUGCCUGCAAAGUGGACCUGAGUGCUGUUAUUUCACUGUUCUAUCAAUUCCAGUACUGAAAAAUAGAUCUAAAUUAUAAGACAUGAAAACUUUUGGGCUUGCAAAUGUUUUUAGAUAAGCUGACCUAUAAUGCAGAAUAUAUAAAAUGAGUCUGGAAAUGGUGCACGCUGAAUCUGAAGUUGGUCAGAGGAGCUGUUAAGGAGAAUCCAUACAUUCCCCUUAAAGUGAUUUGGGCAGUGACAAUUUUAUACGGAAACCACUGUUGAAGUACCAUUUGGUAUCAGAUCCUUUUCAUGGUACAUCUCACAGCCACAAAGCCUAACUGGUGAGCUUCAGAAACAGCCUGGCCACACAGACCUUCCCCAUGGUAACUUGUAGCCCCAUUUACCAUGUUUAACUCUUGAGUUUCCAGAAUUAAAAAAAAAAUUGGCCUGAAGAAGGAAAGGGAAAAAUUGUUUGAGAAAAGAGAAAAAAAAUUUAAGUAUGUUUCAUUUUGGAAAAUUACUGGUUGAAAUGCAAAACAUCUAUGUCAGUCUAAGGAUCCUCAUGAUAUCUUAACUGCUGAUGGAAAGGUGGUCACAUACAGAACUUGAUUAGUCAAAUUAUUAUUUCACAAUACAGCCUUCUGUUCAUUAGGGCUUGGUGACUUAAGUACACUGUUAUCCCACUCUCUUAUAGAAUUGGAACUGCAGUAUGAUUUCUCAUUAAUUUGAUAAUGACAUAUAUAUAUAUAUAUAUGUAUGCUAAAAGAAUCCUAAGAUAAUCUUUGAUAAAUAGGCAGAUUUGGGGUUUAUGUGAAUAUUUUAUAUUACUCAUUUUGCUUAUACCACUACCCCAUUAUUCCUCUCAAAACAAUUACUGCAAGUUAAUUUCAGUUAAUAGUGGAAGGAAAUGCUCACAAUGUCUGAGAAGCAGAAAAUCAUUAUUGGUCAGACAGCACUUGAUACAACUACAAGACACAGCCCUUGAACUGUAAUUGUGAUUGAAAGAAAAUAUAACAAGUGGACACUGUUAAAACCAGCUGAAGAAUAUAUGGCUGUCUGUAAAGAUUUGUCAAGAUGUCUUGGAUUGCACUUUUGUUGAGGGAUGACUGUAAAUAGUUGAAGAAUGUUGAUUAAAAAUCAAAGGAUUUGGUUAUGGAAUCCUGUGUGGUGUUAGAAGGUUUCUGUUUGUGAAAUGUAUGUAUUAAAAAUAAUAAAAAUUAAGAAAUCAAUAUUGUA